rnacentral:lncRNA from 1 species
UAAAGAUUUCAGCCCCAAAAAUCUGUGUUGGUAAUCGCAUUCUAUCAAAUUUAAUUUUCUAUACACAAAUGGGCUACUUGGAAUCCCUUUCUAACUCUCUUCCUGCUUCAGAAUUUUAUAUGGAAAAAAGGCGAACACAUAGAUUGCAGAUUUGCAGAGAUAUUCUAUAUGCCCUUCAAUUUCUUUUCCUUUUCCAGAUAAAUUACUGCUGCUCAUGUUGCCAAAAUAAAAGAACGAACUUAGGAGAUGAAAGGACAAAAUAAUCAAUGACUCUGAAGGCAAAGAACAGGAGAGAAAAACAUGUUCCAUUUGUUGAAAUGAUGACAAGCAAGUUACAGAGUUAAUAGGGUCAGAAGAAGAGAAUUGUAAAGCGAUAAGAAGAUAUAUAUACUUGUAGUGAAGAAGUUGUUUGAAAUUAUGAUCCAUAGACACAAAGAUAGAGAUUGGCUUGAUCAUGUUUCAACAUCAGAAAGCCUGUGCUUUUUCCAUCCAAUCCGAGGAGUGAUCCAAUGCGAUAGAUUAUGUUAUGAUCAAAUUUGUAAGAUCAUAUGUUGUGUUUGGUACUUUAAUACUAUAUGUUCCAUGCAAAUUUAAUGUUUAUGGGUUGUAACUUUUUGGGAUUUUGAUCUUCUUAACUUUUGAUUCGCCUAUUCACACAGGAAGAUGUUUGAGGCUAACAAACAUAUGGUUUGUUCUUAUUCCCUUUUAUUUUCCCUUUUCUUUGUAUUUUCAGCAUCUUAGCCCUAUUUUGUACCAUACCAACUUCUUAGGAAGAAAGAAAAUCUUCUUUUUUCCUGUAUAUCUAUGGCUUUUAUGUUUAUAUGGUAAAAAUUGUCAUUUUCUUGAUAAAAUUAAGUUAAAUGUAGGGAUUAACUCGGAAUACGUAAAGAUCUUAAACAUGAAAAAAACUUUCGGGAGUGAUGACCAAUUUGUAAAUGUAUUAAUUUCGGGAAAUAACUCAAGCUCAGGCUGGUAAAGGAAAAAAAAAAGAUAGUAUGAUUUUUCGAUUGCUGAAAUCUCACAAAUAUUACUAAUAUGAUUUCUCAAUUGCUGAUUGUUGUUUGUUACUAUGGGA